CCUGCUCAUUUUACCACUACCAAAAUUAAUCAAUACCUUUAAUAAUAUGUCUUCCCGAACAAAACUAUGCUUUUUUUAUUUUUACUACUCAAAAUAAAUUGAAGAUUUAUGGGCUAACUUACGUUUUCUUUCAGAUAGAACUAAAACUCAAUAUGACUUUAUGAUCUAUCUCCGGAAUGAACUUGUCCACCAUAGAAAAAAUUGUGAACUAGAUUUAAUAAUUAAAUAUAUAAUAGGUAUUCCUUCUAUAAUAAAUUGAAAACCUGUAUAAGUCACCCUCCCUGCUCAGUUGAUUAUCAAAAUGUCAAGGUAUCAAACACAAAAAUCACUAUUUUAACCACUCUCUUAUUAUUCCACAAUCCUAUUCUCUAAAACAUGGCUACAAGAUAAU